rnacentral:lncRNA from 1 species
AUCUAAAACAUUUCUAGAACUAAUUCUGUAAUCGAUUUGUUGGUAUGGGAUAGAUCAAGAAACAUGAAUAUGAAAUCGAUUUGUCUUCAAAAUUAUUUCUGGAACUAAAAAACCCAGAAAAUGAAUAUGAAAUCGUAUGUCCCUCAAAAUUAUUUCUGGAAUUAAAAAACCCAGAAAACAAAUCUGUAACCGAUUUGUGUGUAUGGGAUAGAUCAAGAAACAUCACCCAUUUGACAGGAUCCACGAGACAACAUUUGGUUUCUCCCUAGAAAUAUGAUUGUAAGAAAGAUCAGUAACCUUAAUAGAAAACCCAAUCGGUUUCAACACACCAUUAAAAUCGAUUUACAGCCUAAUCGAGUUCGUUGUAAAGGUGGAAACACCGGAAAAAACAACGAUCAGAUCUCGGCUACAUGAAGAACUCGAACUCUUUAUUACCACCGCUGGAAACCCUAGUUGCGCCGCCUGUCCAAACCAUAACACCGCCAUCUGAUGAGAAUAGUUUCCAUGAAACCCUAGCCGCCAUGAACAUCCCAGAUCUGUGUUUGAGGGAGUAGCAGAUGAAGAAGAAGGUAGAUGAAGAAGCACGGUUCGUCGGUAGAUUUGAAUCAGAUGCAGGAGAAGAUGACUUCAAUGAAUUUUUUGUUAAAGUCGUCCCUGAUAACUCUAGUACCAGAGUAGAUGACUUCAAUAGAAAGAAGCUUUGAAGCGGUUGAUCUAGUGAGUAAAGCUACAUAUUUACGAGAGAGAGAGAGAGAGAGAGAGAGAGAGAGAGAGAGAGAGAGAGAGAGAGAGAGAGAGAGAGANNN